rnacentral:rRNA from 1 species
GAUGAACGCUAGCUACAGGCUUAACACAUGCAAGUCGAGGGGAAACGAUAUUGGAAGCUUGCUUCCGAUAGGCGUCGACCGGCGCACGGGUGAGUAACGCGUAUCCAACCUGCCCACCACUUGGGAAUAACCUUGCGAAAGUAAGACUAAUGCCCAAUGAUAUCUCUAGAAGACAUCUGAAGGAGAUUAAAGAUUUAUCGGUGAUGGAUGGGGAUGCGUCUGAUCAGCUUGUUGGCGGGGUAACGGCCCACCAAGGCGACGAUCAGUAGGGGUUCUAAGAGGAAGGUCCCCCACAUUGGAACUGAGACACGGUCCAAACUCCUACGGGAGGCAGCAGUGAGGAAUAUUGGUCAAUGGGCGAGAGCCUGAACCAGCCAAGUGGCGUGCAGGAUGACGGCCCUAUGGGUUGUAAACUGCUUUUAUAAGGGAAUAAAGUUAGUCUCGUGAGACUUUUUGCAUGUACCUUAUGAAUAAGGACCGGCUAAUUCCGUGCCAGCAGCCGCGGUAA